UACUACUACUACCAGUAGUAAUACCCAUAAAUAUAGGCUUAUAAUACGUAAAAGUUGUCUUUUUUGGUAACUGUGGUGUGAUGUAGUCUUCGCUUAAACCUAAACAUUAUCAAUGAUUUUUUUACUUCGAAAUAUGAACUAAAAGAACUAUUUCUGUACUAGUGCUAUCUACUAUAGACUAUAGUAUAACUUGGUCUAUUAGUAUUACAGCUAGUGCUAGUACUAUUAGUAAUACUAGUAAGUAGUAGUAGUAUAUAUUAGUUAUUAAUAUUAUUUCUAUCAAUGAUACAAAAAAAAAAAACCAAUAACCAGAGCGCUUUCGGUAAAGCAUGAUUUCUUUCCUCAAGGGUAAAUGGUAAAUGCAGUAUUAUAGCAGUACUAGAACUUAGAAGCUGGAAAUGGCAACAAGCGGGAAGAUAGAGUCAAUAUAUAGUAGGCCUAAAGUUACAACUAAUGAUAGUGUAGGUUUAGUGCAUCAAACCAAAUGUUCGUAUUUUUAUCCAGCUGAGGGAAGGUGGGCUAAUGGUAAUAUGUUUUUAAGUAAAGACAAAAUAGUUUUCUCUCUUGAAAAGACAGGAAGUGGUACUGAGGAUAAAAUUCUUCAGCUUUUGUUACGGAACAUUACAGAAGUUAAAAAAAGGUCUUCAAGUUUAAUUUUUCCUGCCAUUAUUGUUCAGGUUGGUGCAAUGCCUCAUUGGUUUGCAUCGUUUCCAAACAGAGAUAUAACAUUCAAUUUAUUAGAACUAUUUUGGAAAGAAUACCUGUUGUGUAAAACAAUUUAUCAUGACGUUGAAUCUAAAAAAUGGGAAAGUGAAAAUGAAGCUCAAAGUCUCGGGCAGGAAAUGAUGGAAAUUAUGUAUGAUUCUCAUGCAACUCUACAAGCUGCAGCUUUAACUCUUCACCAGCAAGGAGACCAGCUUAGUAAUGCUUCACGGGUGGUUGGUGAUAUAAAUGAGAAUUUAUCUGUUUCAGAACGUUUCUUAGGCAUGUUAUCAUCUGUGAUGAACAUGAUAAAAGUGCCUAGAAGCCAUAGUGUUCCAGAGAUGACAGAUAAAGAGAAAAGUUUCAAAUUUUCAGCAAGUUUUUGUAUUUCUACUCACAAUAUGGCAGAAUACCAGAAAUUGAUUCAAGGGAUAAUAGAUAUUAGAAGUAGUGGAAUAAGGCUUAUAAGAAGUGAUGGACAAAUCAGCCAUCAUCUGAGAGGGAAAUAUAUUUCUUCCAUCAAGGUAUUAACACCUUGGGAAAUCAGUAUUAGCCACUCAAGUGACCCUAGCAGGAGUAAGAUACAGGUUUUCAUUGUGGUGUGCCCAAGACUGGCAGAAGCCUUAAAGAAACUGCAGCUAUAUUACAGACAGAAGAUUAGUUUAGAUGGUGAGGACACGACUCUGCAUGACAGAAAUCUGCUUCUCUCACCAGAUUCGAAAAAAUCUGGAGUUUCAAGAAAAGAACGUAGCACUCAGUUUCACAAGUCAGAGGGAAGAUCAGGUGAAGAGAUGUUGGUGAAGGAGAAACAGAUGAUAAAUGAAGAGGAAGCUGAUGAAAUCAACCAGAUGAUCAGCAGUUUACAUUCUCUUGCUCUCGAGGUUGGCCAAGAACAGUGUGCUCAGUUGGAAAAAAUUGAUAAGUUGAUUGGCUAUGUGGACAGAACUGAUGAUCGGAUGAAAGAAGAUAUAAAAAAAAAUAAGGAAAUUACAAGGCAACAUUUGAAUAUGGAAAUGUUUACCAGAUUUACUGAAAUUGUUAAAAUAUUAACAUUUUUUAAAUUUUCCUUUUUGAGAAAGUGAUUAUUGUAAACUGUUUAAUUGUGAGGAUUUUAUCAUAUAAUGAAUUUGCUGGACUACAUGAGCAAAAACUGGACUUAGGUGAAUGAAUGAAUCUUAGUAGAUGAUUUAUAAACAUCACAAUGAACAAAAGAUGAUGUAUGAUAAGAUAUAAGACAUCCGUAUGAUAAGAUAUAGGACAUCUGUAUGGUUAGAGAUAGGACAUGUAUGAUAGGAGAUGAACAUCUGUAUGAUAGGAGAUGAACAUCUGUAUGAUAGAAGAUAAACAUCUGUAUGGUUAGAGAUAGGACAUGUAUGGUUACAGAUAGGACAUCUGUAUGGUUAGAGAUAGGACAUGUAUGGUUAGAGAUAGACCAUAUGUAUGGUUAGAGAUAGGACAUGUAUGAUUAGAGAUAGGACAUGUAUGAUAGAGAUAGGACAUCUGUAUGAUUAGAGAUAGGA
rnacentral:misc_RNA from 1 species